rnacentral:lncRNA from 1 species
GUAGGGAGGGAUGGAGGAUCUAACAUGGUAGACCUGAUAGAGAGAUGGAGGAUCUAACAUGAGAGAUGGAGGGAGGGAUGGAUGGAGGAUCUAACAUGGUAGACCUGAUAGAGAGACGGAUGGAGGGAUGGAGGACCUGAUAGAGAGACGGAUAUGUAAUAUUCCCAGAACUGUGAACCCCUGAGCUUGCCUGGGUUAAUGGACCGAUAUAAUAUUCCCAGAACUGUGAACCCGCCCAUCUGGUACUCCAGGCAGGCUAGAGCAAAACGCUCAACGGGAUUUGAAAGAUUUAGAAUAGUAUUUAAACCCAUGUCUGAGAGAGAGAGAGAGAGAGAGAGAGAGAGAGAGAGAAAAAAAAAGGUGGAAAAGAAAAAAACAGACUUCUAACAUGGUAGACCGCUGAGGAAGACGGGUAGUAUGAGAGGUACGAUGUGUUUGUAUAAAGGACUUCACCACUGCGAGUAACACUUCCUCCCGAUUCGGCUCGUACCUGGCGCGAACUCAGGACCUCUGCCUUUCUAGCACAUGUGGCUGCCCUCCUGAAUCGCCUUACUAGUCGGUGCCACACAAAGAAAACCUAGUGUUUGUGUUUGUAUGCGUGUUGUGUUGUGUUGUGUUGUGUCUCCCAGGGUGUCCAGUCUACCAUCUGGCCCCAGCCAUCUCCAGGACUGAGCAACAGGGCACCAGGGGUGAUGGCCGGGUCCUUCCCCCAGACAGAGGGCCCAUGGCUGGGCAACCAUCUGUGGUUUGGUGGCCUCUAGGCUGGAGGUCACUGGGUCUCUCCAGGGGCACAGAAAUACAGGGAAACUACCUGAGGGGGAUCUUCCUGUACACACACACACACACACACACACACACACACACACACACACACACACACACACACACACACACACACACACACACACAUACAGACACCCCCACAUUA